rnacentral:tRNA from 1 species
AAAAAGAUAAGCUAACCAAGCUGGUGGGCUCAUACCCCUUAUAUGAAGGUCCUAAUCCUUCUCUUUUUA